rnacentral:rRNA from 1 species
GACGAACGCUGGCGGAGUGCUUAACACAUGCAAGUCGAACGAAGUGGCGAACGGGUGAGUAACGCGUAAUCAACCUGCCCUUCAGAGGGGGACAACAGUUGGAAACGACUGCUAAUACCGCAUACUGAAGGGGGGGAUUGCGUCUGAUGAGCUAGUUGGAGGGGGAACGGCCCACCAAGGAGAUGAUCAGUAGCCGGUCUGAGAGGAUGAACCGCCACAUUGGGACUGAGACACGGCCCAGACUCCUACGGGAGGCAGCAGUGGGGAAUCUUCCGAAAUGGACGAAAGUCUGACGGAGCAACGCCGCGUGAGUGAUGACGGCCUUCGGGUUGUAAAGCUCUUUUAAUCGGGACGCGGUACCGGAAUAGAAAGCCACGGCUAACUACGUGCCAGCCGCCGCGGUAAUAC